rnacentral:rRNA from 1 species
UAGGGAAUCUUCGGCAAUGGACGGAAGUCUGACCGAGCAACGCCGCGUGAGUGAAGAAGGUUUUCGGACCGUUAAGCUCUGUUGUUAGAGAAGAACGUUGGUAGGAGUGGAAAAUCUACCAAGGGAUGGUAACUAACCAGAAAGGGACGCCUAACUACGUGCCAGCAGCCGCGGUAAUACGUAGGUCCCGAGCGUUGUCCGGAUGUAUUGGGUGUAAAGAGAGCGCAGGCGGCUCUUUAAGUCUGAAGUUAAAGGCAGUGGCUUAACCAAUGUACGCUUUGGAGACUGGAGGAAUUGAGGGCGGAAGGGGAGAGUGGAAUUCCAUGUGUGGCGGUGAAAUGCGUAGAUAUAUGGAGGAACACGGGUAGCGAAAGCGGCUCUCUGGUCUGUAACUGACACGGAGGAACGAAAGCGUGGGGAGCAAACAGA